CUGAGGAGGAGGAGGACGGUGGCCAUGGCGACGGUGCCGGGAGCCCGGCGGCAGGUCCUGCCGGUGGGAGGAGGCUUGGGUGGGCUCGCCAAGGCGCUGGGCGCCGUCCCCUCCUCUGGAGACGCUCUGCCCAGCGCAGCUGCCGAGGCUGCCGCUGGGCCCAGGCGGACAAAGCCAGGGGAGCAGCUGGCUGGGCUGUCAGGAGGCCUCCCGGGCAGGCAGCCGGGAGCCGCGGCGGCGGGAGGGCCCCGGGGCCCCGGCCCGGUGCGAGAAGCUCUCCCGCUGCAAGGAAGGUCUCCCCGAGCCCUCUAACGAACGUGUGCGCCGGUGAGAGCUGAACUGCGAUUGCUUCCUCACCCAGCAGCAAGGAACAGCUGGAGUCCGUUUGUCGCUGGGGAGCUGGCGGUGUGGUCUGACACCAGAGCCCCCGUGUAGCUACCGUGUGACGUGCCCGCAGCCAGUAAACCAAGUCGGAAACCGACCUCGGCGUCUUAAUUACUUCUGGCCAAGAGAAAACGUUCUCUCCGGUUUCAGCGGCAGAGGCGGCUGCUGCCCGGAGCGGCUGGGAUGCACCGAUGCACUGAGCUGCAGGGCUGCCAGGGCAGAGCAAGCCCCCGAACUGCCCCUUUGAUCCUCCGCACGGAACCAAAACCAACCAUUCACACCUACGAAAAGGUCACAGAGCGUGGCGUCAGUUGCAAAGAAAACAAACAAAUCGCUGCCCCACACACACACCUCGUUAGCGGGCUCCGCGGGCACGGUCCGCAGAACGCGCUCGGCUCUUGGCAGUUUCCAUCUCCCGGAGCUCUGCUUUAUUUCCCCUCAAAGCUGGAGAACGUGCAGGGUGGGAAUGCCCGCAAAAAUGUGCCAACUUUAACGUGGCUCUGGCUUUGUCACUGUUUUGGUGUCGUUGUGGGGGUGACGCUUCUCUUUGGCAGACAGAAAUGACACGCUGAUUGACUUCUUUUUAUAUAGAAAGCAAGGUGAGCGUGAUGACAACUGAAAAAUCGGGAGGCAAUAAAUGCUCAGGAGCAACAAGGGGGGGAAAGAGAGAGGGACGAGUGAGGCGUUUGUAUUGACCACGACCCAGGAAAAACGAAGUAGAAACAGAAUUAAACCCAGAACGUUCUCUAA